GCCACCAUAGCUCAGUGGUAGAGUACUGAAUCUUGUGAGAACUCAGGGGUCGGGAGUUCAAUCCUCACUGGUGGCU